rnacentral:lncRNA from 1 species
AAUAAGUUGAUUUUCAGAAGCGGCCACACUAUUAAAUUCCUUUGCAAUAUGAUUAUUCUAAAUCUCCUCUUUUGAUUCUAAUUAUACUAUGAAUUAUUUGUAAAUUGUUUUUUACUUUGCUAACUCCAAUAAAAUAGUAUCUCACGCACAACAUAAAUUUUUCUCUUACAAAAUUUUUCAUACUACACAGCAUAUUCCUUGCCCUCUUGCUUUUUUUCUUAACUUUCUCUAUAUAUAGCAAUAUUGUUUAACAUCAUACACAGGGUUCAUGAAACAAAAAAUUGCAUAGUACAUUGAAUAUUUUUUGUACUUUUGCUAUCUUUCUUAUUAUUACAAUGCAUGCAUCUUCCCCCCAACUCUUUCUACUCAUAGCCCAUGUGAGUCAAUACAUGCCACUUGAACAUAGCCCAUGUGAGUCCAUGUAAGGGAGAGAGAACAUGUGAGGGAGAGAGAGAAAAUCCACCAUGUCGCUCGACGGAGAAACGGCAUUUGAUUUCAACUUUAGUAUAGAGUUUAAUGUGACUUUAUUGUGCCAAAAAGAGUUAUGGCAAAAGUACAUAAUAUUGAUAGUCAUGUGAAUUUAUUGCGGCAAAAAGAGUUAUGACAAAAGGAUAUGUAAAUACUUUAUUUGUUUUAUAUAAAACUACAACAAUUAUAUUAUAACCAGAUAUUUGUGAUCUAUUGUGGUCUAUAUAACUUGACAUUAUAUAUAAAAAGGAAAAAUUAAGGCUCUUUUUUGGAUGUAGGAAUGUACAAUUGGGUAAUAUUCUAUUUGGUACGAAAAUCUUUUAUUAUGAUUGAAAUCUAAAACUGCAAUUAAUGUCAGCAAUAAAAUAAAAUAUUUAUCUUUCAAAUCGUACUUCCAAAAUAAGAUAAAUCAUUCUGUAGGUUAUAUAAACAAUCUUAUCAAAAUAUGAACAUCAAAAUUAUUUAAGAAACAAAAAUCAAACCGUAUAUAUUAAUUACACAAAAAAAAUUUCAUACUGAAUAGUUUCUCAUUGAUAGCUUAUUUCAAUGCCCAAAUGAAGUCUAAAUAUUUUUAUCAUUGUACUUUCUUACCGUACGCUAGUUCAGUAAUUGUUAUUCUGAUUGCAUCCUUGAGAUUGGGAUUUAAUCUCAGCCUUUCCUUUGAAAAAAAAAAA